rnacentral:rRNA from 1 species
GAUUAACGCUAGCGGCAGGCCUAAUACAUGCAAGUCGAGGGGCAGCGCGAGUAGCAAUACUUGGCGGCGACCGGCGUACGGGUGCGUAACACGUAUGCAACCUACCUUUAACUGGGGCAUAGCCCCGAGAAAUCGGGAUUAAUACUCCAUAACAUUGCGAUGUGGCAUCACAUUGCAAUUAAAGCUCCGGCGGUUUUAGAUGGGCAUGCGCGACAUUAGCUAGUUGGUGAGGUAACGGCUCACCAAGGCUCCGAUGUCUAGGGGUUCUGAGAGGAUUAUCCCCCACACUGGUACUGAGACACGGACCAGACUCCUACGGGUGGCUG